rnacentral:rRNA from 1 species
GACGAACGCUGGCGGCGUGCCUAACACAUGCAAGUCAACGAGAAAGGGGUAGCAAUAUCCCGAGUAAAGUGGCGCACGGGUGAGUAACACGUAGGUAAUCUGCCAUUAGGACGGGGACGAACCACGCGAAGACGUGGCUAAUACCCGACUGAAUCGACGAUGCCGCAUGGCAUUGUUGUUAAAUAACCGCGAGGUACCUGGUGAUGAACCUGCGUCCCAUUAGGUAGUUGGUGAGGUAACGGCUCACCAACGCCGACCGAUGGGUAGGCUGGUCUGAGAGGAUGAUCAGCCACACUGGAACU